rnacentral:rRNA from 1 species
UACGUAGGCAGCGAGCGUUGUUCGGAGUUACUGGGCGUAAAGAGUGCGUAGGCGGUUUGCCAAGUCUGGUGUGAAAUCUCCCGGCUUAACCGGGAGGGUGCGCCGGAAACUGGCAGGCUGGAGUGUGGGAGAGGCAGGCGGAAUUCCCGGAGUAGCGGUGAAAUGCGUAGAUAUCGGGAGGAACACCCGCGGUGUAGACGGCCUGCUGGACCAUGACUGACGCUGAGGCACGAAAGCGUGGGGAGCAAACAGG